rnacentral:rRNA from 1 species
GAUGAACGCUGGCGGCGUGCCUAAUACAUGCAAGUCGAGCGAACAGACGAGGAGCUUGCUCCUCUGACGUUAGCGGCGGACGGGUGAGUAACACGUGGAUAACCUACCUAUAAGACUGGGAUAACUUCGGGAAACCGGAGCUAAUACCGGAUAAUAUAUUGAACCGCAUGGUUCAAUAGUGAAAGACGGUUUUGCUGUCACUUAUAGAUGGAUCCGCGCCGCAUUAGCUAGUUGGUAAGGUAACGGCUUACCAAGGCAACGAUGCGUAGCCGACCUGAGAGGGUGAUCGGCCCAACUGGAACUGAGACACGGUCCAGACUCCUACGGGAGGCAGCAGUAGGGAAUCUUCCGCAAUGGGCGAAAGCCUGACGGAGCAACGCCGCGUGAGUGAUGAAGGUCUUCGGAUCGUAAAACUCUGUUAUUAGGGAAGAACAAAUGUGUAAGUAACUAUGCACGUCUUGACGGUACCUAAUCAGAAAGCCACGGCUAACUACGU